rnacentral:ncRNA from 1 species
GAUAACUGGCUUGUGGCGGCCAAGCGUUCAUAGCGACGUCGCUCUUUGAUGUCGGCUCUUCCUGUCUUUGUGAAGGAGAAUUCACCAAGCGUUGGAUUGUUCGCCCACUAAUGAGGCCUGGAUCCAGUGCAGUGC